rnacentral:rRNA from 1 species
AUGUUGCGCAGUUCCAAAUAUCUCAACAGUAAUGUUCUAUUAUCAAACGGAGGUUCUACAUCUGGAGAGGCAUCCUUCCUAGGGACUGCACGUGUGAUUGGGUGGUUCAAUCUAAUGCUUGGCACAUAUAUCUACAACCGCUACUUAAAGCAUAAAAAACUCAGGAAUAUUCUUAUGUUUGCACAUGUUGGCCUAGCGAUAAUUACUGUACUGGACAUUUUACUGGUGUCAAGAUUACACAUUCAGUAUGGAAUAGCAGACAAAUACAUGGUGCUGUGGGGCUCUGCUUUAGCCGAUGCAAUCAACCAAUUCAAGAUGAUGCCGUUCCUAAUCCUCUCAGGACAGCUUUGCCCGCCUGGAAUCGAGGGCACACUGUUUGCUCUGUUCAUGUCCAUAAACAACCUCAAUUCGACAUUAGGUUCAUUCCUUGGAGCUGCAUUGGCGUCAGCUUUGAACAUCCCCUAUCGGAUUUUUGUUUCUGAUUCCAAGGGACGUUACGGGACUAACAUCGGGUUACAGACUUGA